UAUACAAAUUAUAAACAUAUAUAAUGACAUACAAUGACCACUAGACUAAAUAUAAAAUAAUUCAAUUUAAUAAUUGAAAAAAAUUGCAAAUGACAAAGGAUUUAAUUUGUGGGGACAAAUAGUUCAGAUAUCCUUGUACGCAAGAACAAACAAUUCAGAGUAUCAAAUCAGAAAUGAAAAAGAUUAGGAUAAUCUAUAAGUACCACACAAAUUGUCAUCAAAUUAUAAAUCUCAGAAAUUUCAAUAAUAAUUCUUUUUCCCGGAUAUAAACACCAUUAAUGCAUUAGUAAUUAGUUUUAAAGUCUUUACAAUAUUCCUUAUUAACAUAAGAUCAAUUCAAAAAAUGUUUAAUCAAUUAUUAGUUACCCAUGUUAGAUAAUAUAUAAUAUAUUGAUUAUACCUAUGGUCUUAUCUGAGUGUUGGCUCGGAAGUUGUCUAAUU